rnacentral:rRNA from 1 species
AGUGAACGCUGGCGGUAGGCCUAACACAUGCAAGUCGAACGGCAGCACAGUAAGAGCUUGCUCUUACGGGUGGCGAGUGGCGGACGGGUGAGGAAUACAUCGGAAUCUACUUUUUCGUGGGGGAUAACGUAGGGAAACUUACGCUAAUACCGCAUACGACCUACGGGUGAAAGCAGGGGAUCUUCGGACCUUGCGCGAUUGAAUGAGCCGAUGUCGGAUUAGCUAGUUGGCGGGGUAAAGGCCCACCAAGGCGACGAUCCGUAGCUGGUCUGAGAGGAUGGUCAGCCACACUGGAACUGGAACACGGUCAAGACUCCUACGGGAGGCAGCAGUGGGGAAUAUUGGACAAUGGGCGCAAGCCUGGUCCAGCCAUACCGCGUGGGUGAAGAAGGCCUUCGGGUUGUAAAGCCCUUUUGUUGGGAAAGAAAAGCAGCAGGCUAAUACCCCGCUGUUCUGACGGUACCCAAAGAAUAAGCACCGGCUAACUUCGUG